rnacentral:rRNA from 1 species
GACGAACGCUGGCGGCGUGCUUAACACAUGCAAGUCGAACGAGAAGGUGACUUCGGUCACUGGAUAGUGGCGUCCGGGUGAGUAACACGUAGGUAAUCUACCUUCGGGUGGGGAAUAACGUCUCGAAAGAGACGCUAAUACCGCAUAAUGCAGCGGCACCUAAUGGUGAUUAGUUGUUAAAGCGGGGGAGUCUUCGGACCUCGCGCCUGAAGAGGAGCCUGCGGCAGAUUAGCAGUUGGUGAGGUAAUGGCUCACCAAGGCUUCGAUCUGUAGCUGGUCUGAGAGGACGGCCAGCCACACUGGCACUGACACACGGGCCAGACUCCUACGGGAGGCAGCAGUGGGGGAAUUUUGGGCAAUGGGCGAAAGCCUGACCCAGCAACGCCGCGUGAAGGAGGAAAUCCUUCGGGAUGUAAACUUCAUAAGUAAGGGAAGAAAGCUGCGGAUCGAAUAAGUCCGCAGUCCGACGGUACCUUACGUAAGCCACGGCUAACUACGU